rnacentral:lncRNA from 1 species
AUGUUUGGCUCUAAAACUAAAAGGAAAGCUAGAGAAGAGUCAGGGGCUUCCUCAAAACCUGGAACCAAUAGCCCUGCCAAUGCUAAAAGAAAAGCCAAGAAUCAGCGGCAUCAGACCACUAAAGCAGUUAAGGCAAAACCAAAAGAAGAAUGGGGGAAACCAGGCUGAGGCUAGGGAUGAAGCAGUGGCCAGGACACAGCCAGCCAUUUCUACUGAGCCCAAGACUGUGACCUGGAAAGUAAAAAAAAAAUAAAGAAAGAUAAGACUAAUGCUAGAGUCAUGGCUCAGGCUAAGACAGAACUCCUGGCAGAGCCUGCUUUAGUGCCUCACACCAAGUCAGAUGCUCUGCCUACGUCUGUGGUCAUUACUGUAACCAAGUCUGAAGUCAAGGUUGACACUGGAACUGAGGCAUCUGUCAAGGGCUCUGUCAAGGCUACUGAUAGAUGCAGUAUUAAGCACAAGCCUGAGAUAAAGAAAGAGGUCUGUGUCAAAUCCAGGGCUGGGGACAAAGCUAGUAUUGUCAUCAACACCACUGAUGAGGAUGAAGAUUAUGUGUGCUCCUGGUUUUGGACUCUAGAAGAGCCUAGUGUAGGGUCCUAGUUCUGGCCUAAAGAAGAAAUUCCUCUUCAAGUUUAUCAGUCCCCACCAAAGGUUGAGGAAGAACCUGAACCCCCAGAUACAUUCGACUAUGCUUUAAAAUAAAAAAAAAAAAAAUAAAAGCUGCAGCAUGGUUAAGGGGCAGGUUUAUUAUCCUGGUCCCCAUUGAGGAACUGCAGCCAUCUUUACCUCCAGAUGGGAACUGGACUCUGGUUGCAACCUUAAUUGAAACUCUCCUGGGUAUUCGACCUUUGACCAAGAUCCCACCUUAUGGGGGACCUUACUUCCAGACUUUAGCUGAUUUGAAAAACCAAAUCCAGGAAAAAGAAAAGUAUGGACCCAAUCCAAAUACUUGCCACUGUAAAUCCCAUACCUUUAGUUUAGAGCCUGUUGAGUUUGAUAAACCUGUUGCCCUACUUAAGUUAACGAGGGAUCCGUUUAUUCAUGAGAUAGCUACAAUGAUAAUGGGGAUCAGUUCUGCUUACCCAUUUACUAAAGAUAUUGUUCAUGAUGUUGGUAUUACUGUUAUGAUUGAAAAUUUUGUUAAUAAUCCAAAUGCUAAGAAAUACCCUAGAACUUUAAAUAUAAAUGCCGACCCUGACACCCCCAAAGAAGUGAAAGAGACCGAAGCACAUGUAAAUAAAGUUUGUAGGGACAUACUCUGUUGUCCUUUGAACUUCUCUGUGCAAGUGGAGGAACUAAAGCUGUUAGUGAGCUUGAAUGUGAAAUUUGAUUGUCACCACGUGGUUAUCUAUUAUGUUCAUCUCACUGUUAAACAAAGGAAGUGUCAAAAUCAAGUUUCAGAUUUUAAGAGUCCUUUUGUGUUUUUCAAAAAAUCAAGUGAAUAUAAGAGAACUGAUCAGUGCUGAAGUAAUGUCCUCACUGGUUGCUCUCUUUCACAAGAAUGAGUCAAAAGCUAAUAUUCUUCAAAUCAUUGAAAUAUUUGAGAAUAUAAAUUUCCAAUUAAAAAAAAGGGCAAAACUAUUUACUAAGGAAAUGUUCACUAAAUCUGAACUUAUUUCCAUAUUCCGGGAGGCAAAAGAGUUUGACCAGAAACUCCAAGACUUAACAGACUACAGUGACCCUGAUGUGAGAGAUAACGUUAUCCGAUUAAUACUCAAACUCUAA